GGGGCAGUAGCUCAGUGGUAGAGCUCCCGCCUCCUAUUCGGGAAGACCUGGGUUCGAUUCCAGUCUGCUUCC
rfam:Toxocara canis scaffold1488, whole genome shotgun sequence.